UACGAAGGGAGCUAGCGAUGUUCGGCAUUACUGGGCGAAAAGCGCACGUAGGCGGCCUUGUCAGUCAGGGGUGAAAUCCCAAGGCUCAACCUUGGAACUGCCUCCGAUACAGCAAGUCUUGAGAUCGGGAGAGGUGAGUGGAAUUCCUAGUGUAGAGGUGAAAUUCGUAGAUAUUAGGAAGAACACCAGUGGCGAAGGCGGCUCACUGGCCCGAUACUGACGCUUAGGUGCGAAAGCGUGGGGAGCAAACAGG
rnacentral:rRNA from 1 species